rnacentral:piRNA from 1 species
UNCUGUUUUUAAGGAGAGUCACCUAGGC